GGUCAGAGGUUGGACUAGGUGAUCUUGGAGGUCUCUUCCAACCUAGACGAUUCUGUGAUUUCCCUUCUAAGCCAUGUAAACCAACACCAGACAGAAAACCUAAGAUGUUCUGAUGAGCACAUGCUGUGUUUCUUCCCUCUGGCCCUGAAAUGUUAACAGAUUUCUACAUGAUAUGUGCUUUGACUCCAGGAGACUACCAUUGAUGCAGGAAAGCAAGAGA
rnacentral:lncRNA from 1 species